rnacentral:rRNA from 1 species
UGGCGGACGGGUGAGUAACGCGUGGGUAACCUGCCUCAUACAGGGGGAUAACAGUUAGAAAUGACUGCUAAUACCGCAUAAGACCACAGCACCGCAUGGUGCAGGGGUAAAACUCCGGUGGUAUGAGAUGGACCCGCGUCUGAUUAGGUAGUUGGUGGGGUAACGGCUUACCAAGCCGACGAUCAGUAGCCGACCUGAGAGGGUGACCCGGCCACAUUGGGACUGAGACACGGCCCAA